rnacentral:rRNA from 1 species
AAUCAACGCUGGCGGCGUGCCUCAGACAUGCAAGUCGAACGCGAAACCUUCCUUCGGGAGGGGAGUAGAGUGGCGCACGGGUGAGUAACACGUAGGUAAUCUACCUUUGGGUGGGGAAUAACAGCCGGAAACGGCUGCUAAUACCGCAUAAUGCAGCGGCUCGACAUCGAGACAGUUGUUAAAGCGGGGGAUCGUAAGACCUCGCGCCUAAAGAGGAGCCUGCGGCAGANAGCUAGUUGGUAAGGUAACGGCUUACCAAGGCGACGAUCUGUAGCCGGCCUGAGAGGGCGGUCGGCCACACUGACACUGACAUACGGGUCAGACUCCUAC